UAUGGUGUGCAAGCAGAAAAUUGGUGCAGGGCCCAUGGUGAAGGCCCAUUACCAAUUUCUAGAUCUGAGGCAGGGGGUGUGCUAUCAUAUUCAUGGUUCACAACAGAAUAAAGCAUAGGCCCAUGCAGUGGAAGGCCCAAAGCAACAUAUGGGAGGAGCAAGGUAAUGUGUUAAGAUUUCAAAUGAAAUUCAAAAACAUGCGUGCAACCAAAAACAUGUUCAAAUUACUUAAACUUCCUCACCACCGUCCUCCACCACGCCUGAGGUCGCCUCUGGCGGCGGCGGAACACCAAAACACAAAUUAAAACCAACACCAUAAUCAUGACAACCCGCUCAUGCCAAAUAUAUAAUCAAUUUCAUUUGAAUCCUACUCUAAAGCUCAAACCGAAGAGGAAACUCCAAGAACCCUAGAGCUUCAAAGUUAAAUUAAAUCACGUUUUUGAGGAAUCAAAGCCCAAGAGGUUGGGUCUUUGAUUCCUCUCUCCUCAACCUACAGCGUGGUGUCAAGAACGCAAUGAAAAAUGAAGGAUUUGAAUUGUCACCUUGUCGGAGAAGACAAACUGGAAACCAGAGCUCAGGGCAGGCCUAGCAUGGUUCCGAGGCAAGGUUCAAUGCAAAGUUUCAAUGCAUGGCAAGUGUUCAAGGCAUGACCAAGUUUCAAGGCAUUUGAUGCAAAAAUGAAGUUUCUUGUUCAUGAAGAAACAUGAUGAUGAAAUAUCAUGAAAUGAUGCUAGAAUGUAGAUGUAACUAGCAUUAGGGUUUAAGAGAUGGAAAAAUGUGAUAGUUGACUUUGGUUAACUGGUUGACCAAAAAAUCAACAAUUGACCAAAAGUCAACUUUUGUAGAAAAUGCAUUUUUUGAUAUUUUAUUUUGUAAUGGAAAAUGUACAUGUUAAUUUAAUGAAUGAACGAACAUUUAUUGGA